AUGUUUUCCAUUUUUACCCCCGUGUCGGCCGGGGACACGGUAGCGAAACAUCUGCAUCCCUUCCCUCACACGCUCGCCCGCAUCCCUCCCUCUCUCACGCUCGCCCGCAUCACCGGCGCCGGCGUCCUCUCCCUUGCACCUCUCUCGCCCGCGCCGCCUCUCCCCGAGCUCCUCGCUCGCCCGCGUCGUCGGCACCCUCUCCCUCGCGUGCGUCGCCGGCGCUCUCCAACACCAGCUCCAUUGUUAAAAAUGCGAUUUCCCCCCCUCCGGCCCUCCGAUCUGCAGUGGCGGUCCUCGAUCUGCUGCGGCGACUAUCAAGACGGCACGACGGAGCUGUUACUGCCUGUCGCCUGCCCAGAGCUUCUGUUGCCGGUUGCCUACCCGGAGCUGUUGCUGUCGGUCGUCUGCCUGGAUCUGCUUCUUCAGGCGAUGCCCACAUCGCCGUCUCCCUCCCGCUCCUCUUCCUCCUCCUCGUCGGUUACUUCACCACCUCAGCAUCACCGGCGGGGGGCUGGGAGGGGGAGGGGUGGAUGGGCCCUUCUUCAAGGCCUACAACCAUCACAGAGCAGAGCAGGAAGCUCGUCUUCGAGGUAUGGUGCAGAUGUGGUGGAGUAUAUCUUUUGGAAUGGGCAUGAACCGGCCAAAGUUCAGGUUCUUCGUUGCCUUCUUCGGGUGGAGUGA
rnacentral:rRNA from 1 species